UGCAGGAUACAUAGCCCCAAAGAUGGUC
rnacentral:piRNA from 1 species